GAAAGUAAGCAAGGGCAGACGGUGGAUGCCUUGGCUCUCGGAGGCGAUGAAGGACGUGAUAAGCUGCGAUAAGCUUGGGGUAGGUGCAAAUAACCUUUGAUCCCAAGAUUUCCGAAUGGGGCAACCCGGCUGGUAGAAGGCCAGUCAUUCCGUAAGGAAGGCGAACGUGGGGAACUGAAACAUCUAAGUACCCAUAGGAGAAGAAAACAAAAGUGAUUCCGCAAGUAGUGGCGAGCGAACGCGGAACAGCCCAAACCGAUGAUGUUUAGGCAUUGUCGGGGUAGUAGGACCACGUUGUGGCAAGAGAUUAAGGAAGUAGAACGUUUUGGAACAAACGGCCGUAGACGGUGAAAGCCCAGUAUACGACUCUUUAACGAAGCCUAGUGGAAUCCUGAGUAGCGCGGAGCACGAGAAAUUCUGUGUGAAUCAGCGGGGCCCAUCCCGUAAGGCUAAAUACUCCCGAGAGACCGAUAGCGAACCAGUACUGUGAAGGAAAGGUGAAAAGCACCUCGAACAGAGGAGUGAAAUAGUCCCUGAAACCGUCUGCCUACAAGCGGUCGGAGCAACGUAAGUUGUGACGGCGUGCCUUUUGCAUAAUGAACCUACGAGUUACUUUCUCCGGCAAGGUUAAGGGCUUCAGGCCCGGAGCCGAAGCGAAAGCGAGUCUUAAUAGGGCGUGAUAGUCGGAGUGAGUAGACGCGAAACCAAGUGAUCUACCCUUGGUCAGGAUGAAGGUUGGGUAACACCAACUGGAGGUCCGAAUGGGUAUACGUUGAAAAGUGUUCCAAUGAACUGAGGGUAGGGGUGAAAGGCUAAUCAAACUUGGAGAUAGCUCGUACUCCCCGAAAUGCAUUUAGGUGCAGCCUUUAUUUAGUAUAGCAAGAGGUAGAGCGACUGAUUGGAUGCGAGGGCUUCACCGCCUAUCAAGUCCAGAUAAACUCCGAAUGCGUGCUAUAUAUUGAUAAGGAGUGAGGGCGCGGGUGCUAAGGUCCGCGUCCGAGAGGAGAAGAAUCCAGACCAUCAGCUAAGGUCCCCAAAUAACAGUUAAGUUGAACUAACGAAGUCGGACUGCAGAGACAGCUAGGAUGUUGGCUUGGAAGCAGCCAUUCAUUUAAAGAGUGCGUAACAGCUCACUAGUCGAGGAGUCCGGCGUGGAUAAUACUCGGGCAUAAACUGUUUACCGAAGCUAUGGAUGUAGAAAUACAUGGUAGGGGAGCAUUCCAACGGCGUCGAAGGUGAAGGAUGACCUUUGCUGGAGCUUUUGGAAACGCAAAUGUAGGUAUAAGUAACGAUAAAGGAGGUGAGAAACCUCCUCGCCGAAAGACUAAGGUUUCCUGAUCAACGUUAAUCGGAUCAGGGUAAGUCGGGACCUAAGGUUAAGCCGAACGGCGAUACCGAUGGAAGAAUGGUUUAAUAUUCCCAUACUACUUUAUGGAGCGAUGUGGAGACGGAGAAGUGAAAGUCCUGCCAUCUGACGGAAUAGGUGGUUGAAGAGUGUAGAUGUAGAUUCCUGUAGGCAAAUCCGCAGGGAGAGUCGACCUUGAUAGUAUGCCGCGUGCUUGCACAAGGCAAAAUGGACGUAAUCAGGCUCCCAAGAAAAUCCGCUAAGCAUAUUCAUAAAGUACCCGUACCGUAAACGGACACACGUAGUUGGGUUGAAAAUACUGAGGCGCUCGAGUGAUUCACGGUUAAGGAACUAGGCAAAUUGACCCUGUAACUUCGGGAUAAAGGGUCCCUACUGAGAGGUAGGGCGCAGAGAAUAGGUCCAGGCAACUGUUUAACAAAAACACAUGGCUGUGCGAAAUAGAAAUAUGAAGUAUACAGCCUGACACCUGCCCGGUGCUGGAAGGUUAAGAGGAGAGCUCAUCGCAAGAGAAGGCUUGAAUUGAAGCCCCAGUAAACGGCGGCCGUAACUAUAACGGUCCUAAGGUAGCGAAAUUCCUUGUCGGGUAAGUUCCGACCUGCACGAAUGGUGUAAUGAUCUGGACACUGUCUCAAC
rnacentral:rRNA from 1 species